CUCAAUUUUUUUCGUUUGCUAUCCUGCUCUCUCCUCAACAUGUGAAAAAGAAGAAGGUUUACGAGGACCAGAAAUGGAUUGAAAAGAAAAGGGGGACAAAACUCCCUGGGAGAUAUACUAAAUACAACUGCGAAUUUUACUACAUACAACUACAACCAAGACCCUACAAUUGAAAGGCCUUGGGGACUCUAGGGCUUGUGACCCAGAAUCGAACGAGGCUUGAAACCUCAGUUGGAGAGAGAGAUGAGGAAGUUUCUGAGGGUGGUUGCCCAUCUCUCUCUCUGAAUCAAGCCGAUGAUUUCUUCUAAAAAAAACCAACAACAGCCCUUUGGGUGCGUGCGUCUGGUUCAGAUUUGAUCUUGAUCUGGACUCUGCCUGUUACCAGUGAAACUGCUUUCUUUCUUUCUUUUCAUCUAUCUAUCUAUAUAGGUUACAGAGUAUCCACAAUGGAAUAAUCAAAAGUUGCAUGCAUUGAAAGAGGCUGUGAUGAUAAAUUUUUCUGGGUUCAAAUCAGGCGUUGACGUCCGACCCGUUUCGUGGCGGGGCAACCCAGAGGACCACGGAAGCGAAUUCUCUCUCUCUCGUCAGGUAACUGUGGUUGCAGUCAUGGCGGAGUCACUUCGUCGCCUGAUUAUUCAAGGAUCUGAGCCUUCCUGUACAUUGAAACGGUAAUAGAUAAAGUAUGUACUUAUAAUAGAUAUAUGUUUGUGUGUGUGUGUGUGAGAGAGAGAGAGAGAGAGAGAGAGAGAGAGAGAGAUGGUGGUGGUGGUGGUGGAUAUGUGGUAGGAAACUUGGGACUGACUGUGUUCGCUUUGGUUUUCUCGAACUAACCCCCCGUUUUGGGUCGAGAUCAUACCGAUAAUUAACCAGCCCCCGUUAGUCGAUGAGCGUGGCCUUUUAGGGCUGCAAACGAGCCCAGCCGACGUUUAUACAAAAGAGCCGAGCCUAGCUAAUUUCCUUAAUGAGCCUCUUUAAACGACCUUAGCUUUUGAGUAUUGAGCUCUAGCCAUAACAAGCCGAGCCGCAAUCUGCUCGUGAGUAGCUUGGUUCAUUUGUAGCCCUAUGCGUGGGAGUUGGCCCGGAGACCUUGAGUUAUCAAUAUAUGAGUAUGGGUUUUGGAGAUGCUCUAAAGAAAGUUGUGUGCAAAUAGAAGUACGCUUUGCAUUUGUAGGCGUAUGUAUCUGAAGGUGUGUGUUUGUGCGUGGAAUUUGGUUUAUGUUGAGAAAAUGCUGCACAUUUGGUGAAGAAUGAGUUGAAAAAAGUCAGCCUAAAGGAUAUUGCUGGUGAAUUGUUGAUUGAGUACGUGUUUAACCUAUUUGCGAGAAAUUUUUCAGUGCCGGGUGGCUAUCACGUGGUGCCUAUUUGGCACAUCCGGGCCGUUCCUUGCGGUUUUGGACGGUUCGGAUUUGGAGAGAGAAAGUGUUGGGGUGAGAGGAGAGAGAGUUUCAAUCUGGGCCGUCCAAAAGUGCAACGGACGGCUUGGAUGUGCCGAGCAAGCACCACAUGGGAUAUACCCACCCGGCACCAAAAAAUUUCUCCCUGUUUGCUAUCUGGAAAGGAAGUAAGUAACUCAAGAGAAUGAGGCUAAUAAGCAGAGAGAAGGGAUGUUUCUAAGGGUGGUUGCCCCUCUCUGUAACUCGACAGUCUUGGUCAACCCUUGCUCAGAUCGUCGAAGCCAAUGAUUUCAGUUACUUUAAAAAAAUCAACAACCUUUUGCAUAUGUAGGCGUAUGUACGUAUCUGAGAGUGAGUUUGUGUGAGGAAUUUGGUUUAUGACCUGUUUGGUUCGCAUUUCCUAAUCCUUUCCUGUUCUGCUGUCGCUGCUGCUGUUGUUGCUACAUAAAGGAACCAUGAUCACUAAAUAACCCAGUGCAAGAGGCUGUGAUGAUAUUUUUCUCAAGUUCAUAUGUCGAGAAGAUGUGACCCAUUUCUUGGCAGGGCAACUGAUGUUGCAGCCAUGGUGGGAAAACCCUUCUCUUCUACAAUCGAAACACAGAUCUGAGCCUCACCUUUUCCAUCAAUUUACCCUCACACUUCUCCGGAGCCUGGUAUAAUGAGGCGAUGAUCGAAAUGGUGUGCAUUUAGAAGCUCUGAAACAGCUCUGGAAAACUUUUUUGAAAGCAACAACCAAGCAUGGCCUCUGAGCCUUGGUUGAUUAAGAUUAAGAUUUUGGGUUGUUUCUGAUUCUGAUCGAUUGGUAAUCCAGGGCUGACACACAUGAAAUAUAUUUAUCGUGAAAACCCAUGCAUUUGGGGUUGUUCAGAAACUGAAAACAUGGAAUGAGGCUGCUAAAGAGAGAGACAGGAUAUUUCUUAGGGUGGUUGCCCCUCUCUCUUGAAAAAAUCAUCUUGUUCCCAAAAUCAGAUCAUCAAAGCCUAUGAUUUCAGUUACAUCUACAAAAUCAACAGCCUUGUGUGUACGUAUGUGUGCAUGCAUAUAACUGGGUGCGUGUGUUUGUUUGUAGGAUUUGGUUUUUGACCAAACCAAACCCUGCUUCUGUAUCUUUUUCCAUUUUCUUCGUCUGCUGAUGCAUUGUUAUCACUGAAGAUUAUGUUUAAGAAUUAUUUCUUGACAAGACCAGCUGCCCAGCAGCGGGCAAUGUUUGUCUCGGCCUUAUUUAAGGCAAAGAGAUCAGACCAUCAGUGGACUGCGGUGCAAUUAUUAUAGACAGCUCUACCACUUUGUUUCGACUGUUCUGGUGAUAGAUUUUUGGUUAGGAAGAGCGAACUUUUGACCAUUGAUUUUAAUGGGGACGUAAUGCUGUCAAUUGUAAGUGACAUUGCCAUUUCUAUUUUCUCUGAGAAGUGCCCAGAUGAGGUUUUGAAGUUCUUUAACGCUUUACAGCCUUUCCUCAUGGAAAAUUUGUUUUCUCAAGGUUUCAGUGUAGGAUUAGAAGAUUUUUUCAUUGAGAGAGCUGUCUUAGAGGACAUUCAUAGACGCAUUGAGAAAAUUUCACCCUUGUUUCGUAGCUUGCAUUCGACAUACAAUGAGUUAGCGUGGAAUUUGGUUUAUGACCUGUUUGGAAUUUGGUUUAUGCGAAAAAAUGCUGAUUACUGGCGAAUUCUUGAUUGAGAUGAGGCUAUAAGCAGAGAGAAGGGAUGUUUCUAAGGGUGGUUGCCCCUCUCUGUAACUCGACAGUCUUGGUCAACCCUUGCUCAGAUUGUUGAAGCCAAUGAUUUCAGUUACUAAAAAAAAAAAUCAACAACCCUUUGCAUAUGUAGGCAUAGGUACGUAUCUGAGAGUGUUAAGUUUGUGCAAGGAAUUUGGUUUUUGACCUGUUUGGUUCGCAUUUCCUAAUCCUUUCCUGUUCUGCUGCUGCUGCUGCUGCUACAUACAGGAACCAUGAUCAUUGAAUAACCCAGUGUAAGAGGCUGUGAUGAUAUUUUUCUCAAGUUCAUAUGUUGAGAAGAUCUGACCCAUUUCUUGGCAGGGCAACUGAUGUUGCAGCCAUGGUGGGAAAACCCUUCUUUUCUACAAUCAAAACACAGAUCUGAGCCUCACCUUUUCCAUCAAUUUAUCCUCACACUUCUUCGGAGCCUGGUAUAAUGAGGCGAUGAUCGAAAUGGUGUGCAUUUAAAAUCUCCCAAACAGCUCUGGAAAACUUUUUUGAAAGCAACAACCAAGCAUGGCCUCUGAGCCUUGGUCGAUUAGUAAUCCAUGGCUGACAGUGACACACAUGAAAUAUAUUUAUCGUGAAAACCCAUGCAUUUGUUCAAGGCUGAUACACAUGCAAUAUAUUUAUCGUGAAAACCCAUGCAUUUGUCUGCAAUUCCUUGCCGCAUCCGGCCUUAUUUAAGGUGAAGUGAUUAGGCCCUCAGUGGACUGCGGAGCAAUUAUUACAAACAGCUCUACCACUUUGUUUCGACUGUUCUGGUGAUAGAGUUUUGGUUAGGAAGAGUGAACUUUUGAGCAUUGAUUUUAAUAGGGACGUAAUGCUGUCAAUUGUAAGUGACAUUGCCAGUUCUAUUUUCUCUGAGAAGGGCCCACAUGAGGUUUUGAAGUUCUUGAACUCUUUACAGCCUUUCCUCAUGGAAAUUUUUUUCUCAAGGUUUCAGUGUAGGAUUCGAAGUUUUUUCAUUGAGCGGGCUGUCUUAAGAGUACAUUCAUAGUUGCAUUCAGAAAUUUUCACCCUUGUUUCGUGGUUUGCAUUCAACAUAUAAUGAGUUAAUUGAGCUGCAAGCAGAGAAGCACUUACAGCUUCUGAAAUUAUCUGUGGCUAAUUUCAUUCUGAGGUCAUCAGCAAUAAGAUAUAUUUAUAUUAUUAACCCCAAGAGUGAGUCCUCUAUUACAAAAGUUGUUCAGCAAAUUGGGUUCCUGGUGCUUCAACUUUCGAGUAGGGAGAGAUUUUACACCAGGGGCUUAGUUGAGGACAUGGCUUCUCUCUUCCAUAACAAGUAUCCCAUCAUGCUAACUACCCGUCGACGGCACAAGGAGGAAUGUCUGCAGUAAUUCUGCCCUUGUUCGGUUGUGGGUUUGGAAAUUCCAAACCCAAAUUCACUCAUUACCUAUAUUUUCAAUCAUUACUUUCAUUUCUCUCUCCAUUCAUUACCCAUAUAUCCAAUCAUUAAUCUCAUUUCUCUCUAUCUCUUUUCACUCAUUACCCCUAUCUCUAAUUAUUAUCCUAUUUUCUCUCAUUCAUUAUCCAAAAACCAAACCCAAAAAUUUUCCAAACCCAUAACCGAACAAGGUGUCUAUCAUUCAAUUUGAGUAUGGGACUAAGCCUGGAGCUAAAUCUACAGCCCUUUGCGUAUUUCGCGCAUGUGUGUGUGUGUGUGUGUGAUGAGGAGGAGGAGGAGGAGGAGGACGACGAUUCAGUUUCUAGCCCAUUUGGGAGAUUACACCCACUGUCUAUACUAGCUGGCCCAAUAGAAGUCUGGGCAAACCCUGUAUGAACUGGCUCAACACAGGAGUUUAUAGCACCUGGGUGUAAGUCGAACCUUAGAUAUGGGAGAUAACCAGGAUCACAGAAUAAUUUUUCAUGUAGAAGAGGCUGUGAUGAUAUUAUGAUGAGGAAUUGGGACCCAAUAUCAUGGCGGGGCAACCAUGAUGGCCUGUGGGAGAGAGAUUCUCAGUGUGGCAACUGUUGUUUGCAGCCAUGGUGGGAACAUCCUUCUCUCUUCUCUUAUCAAAAUAAAGAUCUGAGCCUCACUUUUCUCUUCUCAGUUCUGUGUAUGCGGGGUGAGUUUUUUGUUUCCAUUUCAGCGAUCAGUUAUAACUGCAGGGCUGAUAUAUCAAACUGGAUGCGAGGUUUUUGAAAACUACCUGGACCCGGUUUCAUUGGAACCUCGCCUCUUCAACACAUGAGGUCCUUGUCGCAAUCAUUGAAAGCUUGCAUCUUUGGCACGCUUGUUUUAUGCUCGCAUUACAUGUGAGGUCCUUUAAAACGAUGAUGAUUCAUAAUCAUUAAAAGCACUGUUCUAAAAAUCAGAAUUAAUCGGUGAUUAAUCGCUGGCGGGGCCCAUCCGACUAGAUCCAACUAAUUGCUAUUUGCUGAUUACUAAUUGCUAUGCACCGAUUACUAGGCCUCGAAGCUCAAAGGCCGACCGCCCGACUAGCGCCUAUCGACUUUAAGAACCUUGAUUAAAAGCUCGCAUUUUGGACGCGAGAGGUCCCACCUCUGGUUUUGUUUCUGUUUCUUCUUUCUCUCCAUCAUCACUCUCAAUUAUCCCCAUCAGCACAACACCACAUCUCAAUAGAGGCUGUGAUGAUAAUAUUUCUGGGGUUGAAUCAGGCGUUGAGGUCUGACCUGUUUCGUGGCGGGGCAACCCAGAGGACCACGGAGAUGAAUUCUCUCACUCAUCAGGUAACUGUGGUGGCAGACAUGGCGGAGUCACUUUUCUCGCCUGAUUAUGCACUGAUCUGAGCCUUGGUUUCCCUUUCCUCCAACGUUUAUAUGUUACAAUGGCAACAUAAAAGUAAUUAUAUGUGUGCAUGUGUGUGUGUGUGUUGAUAGUGAAUAUGUUGUAGCCUGUAGGAAACUUGGGUAGUUGGGUUGAUCUCUGUUUUGGUUUGCUUUAGGGGUUCCAUUACGGUAGAGCUAGUUUGGGUUGGAAAAUGUAGUUUCUAUUGUUCUCCCUAUCACUGCAGUAUAUCUUAUCAAUGAAUCUUGCUCCCAAGAUCUGCUCAGUUGAGGGUGUGAGAACAAAAUGGACUAGUAAACAAAUCUGAUUUCCAAUCUAUCUUUGUUUGAAAGAACCCAUUAGUCCUAGACAUGCAUUCCAAAAACAUGUAUGCAUGUGAAGUUUAAUCUCACCGUUCAUCAGAAGCAGGGCUGGCUCUGGGAAGAACCCUACAAAGCCACUACUUGAGCCCCUGAAUCUGUAAUUUCUAUCAGAAGCAGGGCUGGCUCUGGGAAGAACCCUACAAAGCCACUACUUGAGUGCCCCUGAAUCUGUAAUUUCUAAAUGUAUGGUACUCCUGAAUCUGCAAUUUGCGUUAAAUUGAUUCACUCCUGGUGUGUACUAGUGGAUAGUGGAAAUGAUCCCUGGGAUUAGUUAAGCUGGUGAGGUGCGCGAAAGCUGACUUGGAUGCCCUGUGUUAUCAAGAAAUGAGUAUGGGUUUCGGAGAUGCUCUUAUGGUUCUGUGAUGGUCCUCUAAAGAAGUAUGUGCAUUUAAAAGCUCCCAGUGUGUACUGAGAUUAAAAAGUGCAAAUAGAAUCACUCAAAAGAAUAUCUGGAACUGUAAGCGAGUGAGAGAACGAGGCUCCUCUCUUUAACUAGAUGAUCUUGGUCAUCCAUUACUCAGAUUGUCAAAGCCAAUGAUUGCAGUUUCUUCAAAAACACCAACCCCCCUUUGUAUACAUAUGUGUAUGUUUGUAUGUAUGUAGGUAGGUAGGUAGGUAUAUGGGUUUGUUUGUGCGUGGGAUUUGGUAUAUGACCUGUUUGGUUUGCAUUUCCUAAUCUUUUCAUGUUCUUCUGCUGCUGCUACUGUUGCUGUUGCUAAAUACAGGAACCAUGAGCACUGAAUAACCAAGUGUAAGAGGCUGUGAUGAUAUUUUUCUCAAGUUCAUACGUUGAGAAAAUGUGCCUGGCAGGGCAACUGAUGUUGCAGCCAUGGCAUCUAUUCAUUCUGAUGAUGACAACUAUAAACGUUCUUCACCAACUGGGUGGACUGGUAAUGGAACCCGCGAUGCCUCUAGAGGUGAUGUGGUCUAAACUCAAGGAUGAAAGAAGGAGCUUACAAAGUUUUCCUAUGCUUUUUGAUUCUGAGAUGUUGUAGAGUGCGGAAAUUGUAUUGUGCAUGCUGGAAGCGCUGAACUAUUCAUGAUUAAAAGUUUCAUAAAUGUGAAUUGUGUUUAGGCAUUAGCAAGGCUGGAGAUUUGUCUAAUGUGUUCAAAAAGUGAACGUGGGACUUGGCUCAUUGGGUCAUGUAAAAGGUCUUAUGAGAUGAGAAGUUGAAAGAAGCGGUCCACUGUGUAUAUAGAAAAAAACAGUUAAUCUAAAGAAACACAAGAGUUUAAGAAAACAAACAAUUAUCAAGUCAAGUGUUCAAUUAUCUUUACAUCUUCCGUAGGAGUAGUUUUAACGUAAAUAAGUAAACUAUCCCAAACACAAGGUUGUGAGUUCGAAUCCCGCUUGUGAGUUGUAGUCCUUGUGAAUGAGAUGUUGUGUAGUGGGCAUUAUAUGUUCAACUUGCACUUUGAUGGAGUUGUGGCGACAGAUAACCCUUCGAAAAUAUGCCCAAUGAACUUGGCUCUUUCAAUGCGUGAUACUGGUCACUCGCUCUUUCAUGUGUGGUUACAACGUCUCCAAUCCCAACCUUUUUUAUACUUAGAGAAAACAAAAAAACAGACACCAAACAAAUUUAAAUUUGAAGGAAUGGAAAAUUUUAAAACUUUCCCCACCAUUGUUAGGUUAUUAUAGUAAAAUAGAGGAAAAAAUUUAAAUUCUAAUUCAACUUUUCUCACAAUUUCUCUCCAAAUUUCCCUCUCUUUUUCCUCUUCAUUACUACUACUAUUUUCUUUUCUUUUCCCUUUCUUUCCCUAACUUCCAAAAAGAGGCUCUGUUUGGAACUUAAGGAAAUGAAAGGAAAAGAAAGUAAAAUAAAAAAAAAUUUCCCUACUACUGUAGGUUGGGAGAGAAAGAGAGAAGAAAACAACAAUUUUAAGCUUUGUGAAUAGUAAAUUUUUCCUCCAAUUUUCUACUCAUUUUAUUUUAUUUAUUUUCCUUUCUUUUCCGUUGGUUCCAAACAGAGAAACCUUUUGGUUGAGGUUUAUGUUCUCAACCCAAAACGACCAACGGUUGCGAAAAAACCCUAAUUAGGGCUGCUUGUAAGCUACUCUACAAGCAACAGGAGCAAAAACCCUGCUGGCCUAAAAAAGUCUCUCUCGCUCGCUCGCCGGUUGGGUUUCUUGUAACUACUACAAAAGACGAGACAGUAAUUUUCAAAGUUUUUCUUUUUUCUAUAUCUUGCUACUGUCCGACCAGAUUUUCGUAUGACCCAGAUCUUACACCACCGCCGCAGCAAAAUCUAGCCGUUGCAAAUUUUGUAUAAGAAAUAGGUCUCCUUGAUUUGAGUCAAGAAAAGGGUUAACCGCAAUUUGGUAUGUAUUCGAGUAAGGGUUCAAAAGAUGCAUUUUGAAGGUUUAUUUUCAAAUCUGAAAUUUGUGUUAGGGCUGGAAUUUACCUGUUGAUGUCUUGAAACUAUAUCUAGUGUUUUUGAAGAGUUCAUUAUUGUGGGUCAUUCCUCAUGUUUUCACCACUGGGGUCAUUCUGAGCAUCGUCUGAACACGGUUUUCCAUUUUUUAUGUUCCUCUUAGGGUUACAAAGAUGCUUUAUCAGGACUUUUGAUGUACAUUUGUUUGUUUAAGCAAAUUAUUGGUUUGGUCUACUGAAAGUGAUCAUGGUCCGUAAGUAUGUGCUUAAAUCAGUGCAGAAUUUCUAGCUUCCCCGUCUGAGCAAUUUCUGUUGCUGAGAUGCUAAAAUGUAGAACCAAUUUAUAUGAGGUUUGGACAGCUGGAGCUGGUAGCCUGGUACCUAAGUAGACAAUUGAUCAGAUUAGAAAGUUUUGAGAGGUCAUGGUAUCUCAGAUAGUUGCAGUUUGAAUGAGGCCUCUUGGUUUUCGAGGAAAGAGUUGGACAACUUGCAUCAAGUGUUGAACUUUGCAAAGUGUUGUGAUCAGUGUUCUAAAACUUGCUACUCGGUACUCGCUCGGCCAGACAAAUUGAAUCCACCGCUACAUGUCAAACAUUUGCGGGGUCAUAUAAAUGUACUGCUUGAAGCAGGUGAUAUCUGCAUUGCCAAAUAUGGAAACCACUACAUUUGUUUCCGAUACGGAGAGAGAGCGCAUUAAAGGAGCAUUUGGUCAAGGUAUUUGGGUUACUCUCAGUGCCACCGUUUGAAAAGCUUAAAAAAAAUAACUUGAAGGGGGUGUUUCUAUGGAGAUGGGAGGGGUUCUCUACUUGUCAAUUUUGUUGCUGCCGCCCGUACAAUCCAACUCUUCUUGUGCUUGUGGGGUGAUUUUCUUCUCCGUUUUUGUGGAGUUUAGAUUUAUGCCCUGUGUCAAUGGAAUGAUCUGUAAAGAUGGGGAGAUUGUGGAAGAAGUUGCUUUGGAUCUGUUUGCGUCUUCAUGAUUGAAUCACAGCAUGAUUGAGAAUGAAUUUGGUCAUCACUACGUUAGUACUCUUGCUAUACUUUGAGGCUAUUAUGUAUGCAAUUUUUUUGCACUCAAACCUCUCUGAAUUUUCUUCAGUCCAACAAGAGUCUUGGUUCUAAAAGAUGGUGAUCCUUGAGUAAGUUUGGCCUGCUGGUUUUGAACUUGGAAGAAGAUGUCAGUGCUGCUGUUUUGUUCUGGACUUGAUUGAUGAUGCUGCUUUUUUUUUUUUUACUGUAUGAACUACAUUAAUUUUUAGUUUUUGAAUUAUUGGGUUGUAAUUAUUUUCCCGUUGCUAAAUAUAUUCUAAAGACUAUUACCAUUGUCGUUUUUGGCUAA